rnacentral:rRNA from 1 species
CCCUUAGAUGUUCUGGGCCGCACGCGUGCUACACUGGUGAAUACAGCGAGUGUCCAUUCCCUUGACCGAAAGGUCUGGGUAAUCUUAUGAAAGUUCAUCGUGACAGGGAUUGAUCAUUGCAAUUAUUGAUCAUGAACGAGGAAUUCCUAGUAAAGGCGAGUCAUCAUCUCGCUUUGAUUACGUCCCUGCCCUUUGUACACACCGCCCGUCGCUACUACCGAUUGAAUGGUUCGGUGAAAUCUCCGGACUGGCGUGAGUCGGAGCAAUCUGACAAACGCCGGAAAGUUGAUUAAACCUUACCAUUUAGAGGAAGGUGAAGUCGUAACA